AUCUUUUCAUAUGUCUAUUCACCAUCUGGAUGUCUUCUUUGGAAAGGUGUCAAUUCAUGUCUUUUGUCCUUUUCUUCACUGGACAUUCACCAUUUCUUCAGGUGUUGAGUUUGGUAUAUGGUGGUAAAGUGUCCCAGGUGGAUUGACAGCUUAUACAAAGACAUAGUAGGAGAAAACAAGAAAAUUAUGAGAACUACAGGGAAGCCAGCAAGACUGAAAUUCAGGAAAUGAGUUUCUACUAACUCCACAAGGUCAACUAUCAAGAUAGCUCUGAUGCCCAGGAUACAAAGUCUCAUAUGAAUCAGCACCAAGUAAAGCACUG